CCCUUAGAUGUUCUGGGCCGCACGCGCGCUACACUGACGCGGGCAACGAGUUUUUCCUUCGCCGAAAGGUGUGGGUAAUCUUUUGAAACAUCGUCGUGCUGGGGAUAGAUCAUUGCAAUUUUUGAUCUUGAACGAGGAAUUCCUAGUAAGCGCGAGUCAUCAGCUCGCGUUGAUUACGUCCCUGCCCUUUGUACACACCGCCCGUCGCUACUACCGAUUGAAUGGUUUAGUGAGGACUCCUGAUUGGCGCCGCCGCCCCGGCAACGGAGCAGCGGACUGCCGAAAAGUUGUUCAAACUUGAUCAUUUAGAGGAAGUAAAAGUCGUAACA
rnacentral:rRNA from 1 species